AUAAACUAGUGUUUGCUGCCUUUAAUUUAUGAAAAAUAUAUUAUUAGUAUUUUUAUUUGCAGAAAAAUGUAAAAACAGUUUAUUCAAUUUAAAAAGUGCACCUAAAAUCUGUACGUGUUUGAAAAUUGAUAUGAACAAUAUAACACAUGAUGUCGCAAAAGAACAUAUAUAUUACCAUGAGAAAUUGUUACUAUUGAAAAUAGAUAAGGGUACUGUGUACACUAGUGAUCAAGUUUCAGUCAAAAACUUCGAAGAAAUCGACCUAAAUGACGACAUUGAUAAUCCUGUACCUUUGAAUAAAGAAUAUUUAGGUUCAGCUCCUCGUUUAUUUUACCGCACGCCUGCUGUUGGAAGAACCUUACAAGAAAUUACUGAUCAAGCCAUACAAGAAUAUAACGAUCCAAUGGAAGCCAUAGUUUGGCUUAGAAAUGUUAUUGAAAGUGUUGGAAUUACAGCAUUAAUUCAAUAUAGUCAAUUUACAGUAAAAACGUUAAACAACAUACUAGAUGAUCACGAGAAGUUUAUUGACCAUUUUAAUAAGGCCACAACUUUUUUCAUUUUUCUAUCAAAAAAAUUUAGUGAUUAUCGUUUACGUCAAGAUCCGAUUAAUCAAAUAAUUUUAAUGUUUAAUGAAUAUAACCAAUCUCAAAAACUGAAAAAGAUAAACAAAAAUUCAUUAAACUUAGCAAUGAUUUUUUGGUACGUUUUAUAAUGUGUAUGCAGUUAGUAACGAUGCCAAGAGAUCCAUAUAUAACCAAAAUUUUUGAACUACUCCAAAGCAGAAAUUUAACUAAAUUAAAAUCUACACAUGAUAUACCAAGUUAUUUAAAGAUACUACAGCAUAUGUUCUAUUCUUGUAUAAAAUGUCAUGCAAAAAUGUUAAAAGAUUCAGAAAAAACUAAUGAGUUAAAUUAAAAAUUAUCUUUAUGAAUAUCUAAAAACUGUGUUUUAUUUGUUGUUUAAUAAUUCUAAAUAAUUUUUUUUUUUAU